rnacentral:lncRNA from 10 species
GUGCCUUCCUGGCAGCCCCUGUGUUGGGGCCGGGGUGGUCGUGGAGUCCCUGUCUUGCACCCAGGGUCCGUGUCAGGCCUAUGGGGGGCACUUCAAAGCGGCAAGAAGACCCCCGGGGGACGGGAACAGAGCUCCAGGCUUGAAAGGGGACGUUGAGACAGUACAAGGAAAAACUUCCCAUGGCAACAGUGCCUUCCUGGCAGACCCUGCUCCGGGCCAGGCGAGUGGUGGAGCUUCUGCCUUGCACCCAGCUGCGGGUCACGCCCAAGGGGGGCAUCUCAAAGCAACACGAAAGCCCCUAAAGGAAGGGAACAAGAUGCCAGGCUUGAAAGAAGACUUCUGAGGCAGCACAGGGAAAAAGCGGUGGGCAGGGAUCCUCCCACGGACGACAGUGUCUUCCCAGCAGCCUCUGCGCCGGAACCGAGGGACCGUGGAUACCUGGUGUGCACUCAGGGUGCGUUUCUCGCCCACGGGGAUAACCCAAAACGUCAAGAAAGUCCCCAGGGGAAGGGAACAGGACG